rnacentral:rRNA from 1 species
CAGCAGCCGCGGGAAUACGUAGGGUGCAAGCGUUAAUCGGAAUUACUGGGCGUAAAGCGUGCGCAGGCGGUUUUGUAAGUUUGUCGUGAAAUCCCCGGGCUUAACCUGGGAACUGCGCUUGUGACUGCACAGCUAGAGUAUGGCAGAGGGGGGUGGAAUUCCACGUGUAGCAGUGAAAUGCGUAGAGAUGUGGAGGAACACCAGUGGCGAAGGCGACUCUCUGGUCUGUAACUGACGCUGAGGAGCGAAAGCGUGGGGAGCGAACAGGAUUAGAUACCCCCGUAGUCCCUGUCUCUUAUAA